AGUGAACGCUGGCGGUAGGCCUAACACAUGCAAGUCGAACGGCAGCACAGUAAGAGCUUGCUCUUACGGGUGGCGAGUGGCGGACGGGUGAGGAAUACAUCGGAAUCUACUUUUUCGUGGGGGAUAACGUAGGGAAACUUACGCUAAUACCGCAUACGACCUACGGGUGAAAGCAUGGGAUCUUCGGACCUUGCGCGAUUGAAUGAGCCGAUGUCGGAUUAGCUAGUUGGCGGGGUAAAGGCCCACCAAGGCGACGAUCCGUAGCUGGUCUGAGAGGAUGAUCAGCCACACUGGAACUGAGACACGGUCCAGACUCCUACGGGAGGCAGCAGUGGGGAAUAUUGGACAAUGGGCGCAAGCCUGAUCCAGCCAUACCGCGUGGGUGAAGAAGGCCUUCGGGUUGUAAAGCCCUUUUGUUGGGAAAGAAAAGCAGCAGGUUAAUACCCCGCUGUUCUGACAGUACCCAAAGAAUAAGCACCGGCUAACUUCGUG
rnacentral:rRNA from 1 species